GACAGCGCGCGUCGUUUAGCGUGAGUCGGAUUGCAUAUGUUUCAUAGUCCGUGUUUAGUAGUAAAGCUAAUCGAUUAGCGUAGUAGAUUGGUCGGAAUGGCCAAACAACGAUAUUUAGUGAUUUUAAUCUGUCUCUUGUUGGGAAAUUUUGUCAUAUUCCACGAUCGGGAGCGAAUAGUUUUAGCGAAAGAGGUGGAUUGUGUCACUGAUUAUAUGGAACACCAUGAACAAGGGGUAAAUGACCGAUUUGUUGAGGAAGAGUUUCCGAGCAAGAAUAAAGGAAGCGACAACACUUGAGAUGGCUUCCUCUACUAUGUACUGAGCGUAUGGAAUUAUGAAGGAAUUAUGAGAUUGAUUAUGUAACACCCACCAUCUGAAGAUACUGAAACAACAAAUGAGGAUAGCGAUGAAGAUGUGGAGCCCUACUUGUUGGAUUGACUACAGACGACUGAAUUAUUUAAGCCAAAAUGUUUAAAGGAAUUGUUUUCUCCUUGGGUUUGUUUCAAUACUAGUUAGGUAAAUAAAUUACUAAGCUAUUGGUG